AUCCCCAUAGCAAGCGAUUUUUGACACCUCAAAGAAGAUAUCCCAAGAUAAAAAUUGGAUUGAAAAUCAGGAAUCACAUAAUUUUACACCUGAAUCUGACAUUGACCAAUAGAAUGAAUGCUUUCGGAGGAAUCAUAUUUGGACUUGGUUUCUCUGACAGCUUUGGACUAUCAUAUUCCCUAUGCAUUAACACAUGAACUCUUUAUAAGAAUUCAGAGAUUCUCAUCAAGGCCGAGCCAUACUAAACAAUUAGAUGAAUUUCCUUUGUGUCUUUCCAACUUCAUUAUAAGCACUCCUCUUCUACCACAUGAAUUUCCCUUUUCUCCUUCCAAUCGGGUGUCAAAAGGCAAAGUGAGGCAUAUUAAAAAUUGAAAAGUUUAUUGGAGCAAAAUUCAAUUAGAAUUGGGCAGCCUCCAAUGUAACAGAGAAAAAGAAGUUCUGAGGAGCUGGGGGAAAAAAAAAAAAAAAAAAGACUUUUGUAGGAGGCAGAGGAGAGAGCAGAAACAAGGAAGUUAUUCCAGGCAAAAAAAAAAAAAAAAACAAAAAACAAAAAACAGUUGAUUAUUGCAAGAUUACUUUCCGUGAGGGGAGAGCAGGGGUCUAUCCGGCGGAUUAUUUAACUAGUGCUGGUCAGGAGAUUCCUGACUGGUUUAAGAUUCCACUUCUGGGAGAACAAACCUAUAAUUAAGUCUUUAUUUGGUGACGUGAAGCUUAGCAUAAGUGACUCUGUUUGGGGCCUGUUGCCUUGUUGUUUAACGCAGGUUAGCCCUUAGGAGGGACCCUUGUAUAGGUUUUUUCCUCACUCGCAUGCUCCAGGGCAUAUGUGAUGCACGCUAUCUCUUGGUUACACUGCACUUCUCUUUGCAGACUCCACCCAGGAAUGAAGAAAUUUUUUCAGGCGACAGGCUAACAGUUGCCACCCUUCCAAAAAAAAAUUUCUAUUUUAGUAGGAGUGUUUUACCAUCAUUCCAAGGCCCACCACUCAUACGCUUUGGGACUCUACCACAGGGAGACUUCAGGCUGGAAGUUGGACUUGUCUGGGACGUGUUUUCUCCCCCCUUUUUUGUGUGUGGGGGGCACAUUUACGUGAGUAGAGGGAAGUUGUGGUUCCAUUGGGCAUGGCUGCAUUUCAGAAAUGUUUCUAUAACUGGAGGGAGAAUAUGCCUGCAGGUAUUUCAGGCCAUAGCUCUCUGA
rnacentral:lncRNA from 1 species